ACGCGCCGGGGUCCUAACGUGAGAGGGCAAGUUUCAAACCAUCGGCGGGAGAAAACGAUUGAAGGUUUUUUCAUUAUCGAUAUUUUAUUGUUAUCCUCGAGUCGUUUUAAUUAAAAAAAAUAUAUAUAUAAAUUCUAUAUUGUUAAUUAUAUUUAAACACCCCAUCAAUAUCAUAAGUAUACCCGUGAGCUCUGCUUUACCGCCCUUCCUUAAUUCUUUUGACUUUCUACAACUUCGUCUAAAAACUGCAUGUCAUAAACACCACAUUCUCUUGGGAUUUUUGCAGUGUUUCAUCAGAAUGCAGUCUUCUAAAUUUGUAGUCAAGCAUGAUUUUUUUCUUAUGUGACAGUAAUGGGCUUCUAUACAUUGUAGUGUACCUCAUUGUAUUCAUAAGGAACCUUAAGAAAACAUAUGGAGACUUGAGAUGAAGGCUUAAAGUGGUGUUUAGAGC
ensembl:lncRNA